UACAGAAGAUGCAUUUUUAUGUGGGGAAGGAAGAGUAAAAAAGUUAAGAUUUUCACUACUGCAAUAGUAGUGUGUACAGGUGGAGGUGGCGGACAGAAGAUGGAAAGAUACAGAUAAUCCCACAUCUGCAUUCAGAAAAGUAUGAAGAGAGAAUUUCUCUUCAAAACUACCAGAUUCUGAUAUGUCUGCAACCAGUGCAGAAAAUAAAGAUUGAAGGCAAGGCAGAGCAGGGACAAGCACGGACUAAGAGUGUCAGUUCGGUUAAAAAUAAUAAUAAAAAAAUAAAUUUAUAUAUAUGGUGGGGAAAGAAAAAAAGGGAAGAAGAAUAUUGAAAGGAAGCAUGCUGAAGAAAGGCUGGCACUGGAGAGCAGUCUAAUGCAUUGAGAUAUUGAUCCAAAAAUGCCCUCUAAGCUUUGCUAGGGAAGAUGUGAAUCUUUGGUUUCCCUGGAGCAUGUAGGUACAAAAGUUUUAAAACAAUUCAGGUCAAGGGGAGGAGGAAAAAAAAAAAAAAAAAAAACACUAUCUGAAAUCUAGUAGAAAGAUGAAGGUUCUGUCAUUUCAUAAAUCCAAAUCAGUGUGCAUUUCACUCAGUUUGAAACACAGCCCUAGGCUGGGGAUUAGUAGGAUCUGGGGCUGCAGAUCGCACUUGCUGUGGUCAGCUAUGCUCUGAAAAUUGAGUUCUUCCUGUUGUACACGGGAAUUUAGGAAAUGCCUCCAGCUAACACAUUUUUUGCGUGUAAAAUAGUGUGGUGAGAAGGACAAAUAUAUAAAUUUAUAUUACAGUACAGAUGUUUUCUUUAUGCUCAAUCUCAAUCCAAAAUAGUUGCUGAGUGUUGAUACUGACUUAAAGGAGAGCAGAAUGGAGCCAUUUCCAGUGAAUAAUGUAUGAAGGAGUAGUCGGGAUGUGAACUGGUUACUAAAAUACUACUGUACAAACCAAGCUAAUUGCAAUGAAGCUGUUGGGAAGCAUGUGGAAUGUCGUAUAUUGAUUUGCUGCAGUAUGAAUAUAGUUUUUGGUUUUUCUUUUUCCAUAACACUCCCAAGUUUUUUUUUUUUUUUUUUUUUUUUUAAUUACUUUUACACGGGGAUAUGAGAUCUCCACAAAGAUCCUGUUUUUCUACUCAUUCUAACGUCUCUUUGUGCCACGUGUAAACACACCUGCACAGUGCUGCAUGCAACAUGCAGAGGAUUGAUAGCUUCUUGCAAAAACUUUCUCAAUGCCAUGCUGAGAUUGAAACAGUGAAAAAAAUAUUAAGCCUGCGUCACAGCAUAAUGUGAUGAGAAGGAAAAAAAAUAGAACAGUUCUUCAGCAUCUUCUGUCUGGAGGUAAUGGCUACCAAUAUAUUUGAUCAUGUCAUUAUACAGAUUUGCUGUUUACUAUAAGGACUGCAUCCAUAUCAUUCAAAUACAGCUAGAAGACUGUUAAAGAUCUUUGUGUUCUCAGCUGAGAAACUAAACUGAUUCUGUGCCCGCUGGCAAAGGCUGAAGUUGCCAUUGACAAAUACGUACAAUAUGAAGAGACUUGGAUUUUGUAUUUUUUUUACAGCUGAGAUUCAUACUUUAAUGUUUUGAGGAAUAUAUUAGAAUACUGUCAAAAUGCCCUUUUAAUAGUUUUACUUGUGAUUCAACAUGUUUUCAAAUAUUUACUCAGUCUUUUGCCUUUUAGUAUGGAACUUAAUCUGUUACUAAUCUGUUAUCUGUUAUUAAUAUCUCUUCACAUACACAAAUGCUCUUUUUCCACAGAUGCAUGCAUGUGCAAUGGAACAUGGAGCUACUUAACUGUAAACUUGGAGUCCAACCCCAAGGCAUAGAUGCCAAAUCACAGGCAACAAGCCAUCAAUGCACCAACUUUAGGAAGAUUCUAAUGAAAAAUCUUUCUAUUGGUUUAAAAAUUCACAAUUCCCCUCUUUGUUAAAUUAAAUGGGAAAAAAGAAAAUCACAAGAAAACCAACAAAAAAAAUAUUUGCAUACUAUAGGUAGGAUGCUUUGUGAGUAGGUUGUUGGUUUUCGUGUUUGUGUUUAUUUAUUUUUUUCCUUCCAACAAACCUAUGAAAUAACGGGAAAUGGAUUGACAUGUCAUAUAAAAGAGGGAAUAGAGUUCCCUUCCGAAGGACCAUGAUGAAUAGUGGGGAUGGGCAGAUUAAGUGCUUGGUUGUGCUCACUAUGAUCCAUAACCUCAAACUUUACAAAGCAACAAAGCAUCCUUAAUCACGACAGCUAUUGACAAAAGAUAGAGUCCUUCAGAUAGCAGGGAAAAAAAA